rnacentral:rRNA from 1 species
UACGUAGGGGGCGAGCGUUGUCCGGAAUCAUUGGGCGUAAAGAGCGUGUAGGCGGCCAGGUAGGUCUGCUGUGAAAACUCGAGGCUUAACCUCGAGCUGUCGGCGGAAACCAUCUGGCUAGAGUCCGGAAGAGGAGAAUGGAAUUCCCGGUGUAGCGGUGAAAUGCGCAGAUAUCGGGAAGAACACCCGUGGCGAAGGCGGUUCUCUGGGACGGUACUGACGCUGAGACGCGAAAGCGUGGGGAGCGAACAGG